rnacentral:lncRNA from 1 species
CUUUCAGGCACAGUUUGAUAUAGGGGCCCAAAUGACGCCAAAGAACCCAGGAGCCUCAUCAGCUUGGAUUUGUACCCUCAAAUGUCGGUUUCUUUCUCUGCAGAUUUUCCUCUUACAACAGCGCUGCUGCCACAGUUUCAGACUUUGUACUGUCACAGCUCCAAAUUCACAGGACUGCAUUCAGUGGCAUGUAUUGAAAGCCCCAAC